rfam:Gossypium raimondii Chr05_contig_26, whole genome shotgun sequence.
UAUUAGUAGAUUGCAUUUCUACUAUUAAAAAAUGGCAUAGGUGACAGAAUAACCAAAUAGUAAUACGUGAUGUGUCACGUGUACUAUAUGCUAAUGUAUAAGGACAAGCUUUUUACAGUAAAAAUGGAUAUGAAAUUUUUAAUA